AAGGAGGAAGAGCCCCCUCCCCAGCCUCCCUCCAUCCAGUGUUUUCCAGUUCACACAACCACAGGAGAAGCCCGGGGGGGCUCGGGGGGGCGCUGGGAGGCGGCUCAGGACCCCGCCAGGUAAAUCCCUGCGGAGGAAAGGUGGGCAGGGAGGAGGGAACGGCCCCACCAAAGGACGGGCACUGCCCAGCGGCCGGAGCACGGUGCCAGCACCGAACUGGGUGACCUCAGGCGUUGGCCGGUGAGGGGGGGAAAGGAGUUUGGGGGGGGGUGGGGAGGGGACCCACGCCCCCUCAGGAUCGUGGAGAGCAUGGAAGGGACCCUCUGGAAAGGGAUCUCAGCACCCCGGGGUCAUGGGGAGCAGGGAGAGAGCCCUGGGGAUGGGACCCCCGAGCAGCCCAAGGGGAAGGAAAGGGACCCCUGUGUGCUCCUGGGAAGGGACCCCGAGCAGGAAAGCGACCCCCGAGCACCCCAAAGAGCAGGGAAAGGACCCUCAGUACCCCAGGGAAGGGAAUCCGAGCACCCCAAGGGGCAGAAAAGGGACCCCAGAGCACCCCAAAGAGCACGGAAAGGACCCUCAGUACCCCAGAGAAGGGAAUCUAAGCACCCCAAGGAGCAGGGAAGGGACUCCCAAGCAGAAAAGGGACCCCAGAGCACCCCAAAGAGCAGGGAAAGGACCCUCAGUACCGCAGAGAAGGGACCCCGAGCACCCCAAGGGGCAGAAAAGGGACCCCAGAGCACCCCAAAGAGCAGGGAAAGGACCCUCAGUACCCCAGGGAAGGGAAUCAAAGCACCCCAAGGGGCAGGGAAAGGACCCUCAGUACCCCAGAGAAGGGAAUCUGAGCACCCCAAGGGGCAGGGAAAGGACCCUCAGUACCCCAGAGAAGGGACUCCGAGCACCCCAAAGAGCACGGAAAGGACUCUCAGAACCCCAGGGAAGGGACCCUCUGUUCCCCCAGGACCCAGGCGAUGGGGAGAGGACCCCGCACCCCCCAAGGCCGUGGGGACGGGACCCCCCUUCCCGGGCCGUACCUGUCGCAAACCUCUUCUUGACCAGCGACAUGCGGUACCCGGCGCCCGCCAGCUCCACCUCCACCCCCGACAAGGUGCUGCCCUCGCUGCUGAACUGGGCGGCCACGGGACUGGGCUUACUGGGCCCCCCCAGGGGCUCCCAGCUGGCCGACAGCCGGCCACAGCCUGGGGGGACAGCGCAGGGGUCGGGGGGCGGGGGUCGGUCGGGACUCGGAGCCCCCCGACCCCGUGUCCGCCGAGCAGGGCGGGCCCGGCCUCACCUCCCUGCCCCGGGGCACCGGGCACGUCCAGCAGCUUCCAGAGGAGCCGCUUCUCCUCCAGGUUCCUGCCGGGAUAAGGGGGUGUCCUCAAGCCCCCCACGCCCCCAAAAUCCACCCCUUUCCAGCCAGCCGCACCUCUCUGCCUUCCUUACCCCAGCAGCGUCCCCGGUUCCCGGCUCAAGGUUCCCUUUUCCAAGCUCAGCAUUCCCAUUUCCCACCCCAGGGUCCCCUUCUCCCACCCUGGGGGGAUUUAGGACCCCCCUCCUGUGUUUCCCAUGCUGGGGAAAGUUUGGGAUCCCCCUGGGGGUGUCCAGGAUCCCAGAUCCUGCAUCUCCCACCCUGGAAGUGCUGGGGACCCCCAGCCCCGUGUCCCCUCACUCUGGGGAGGGAGUCUGGGACCCCCAGCCCCGUGGCACGCACCCUGCGAAGGUUCUGGACCCCAGACCCUGCAUCUCCCACCCUUGGGGGGUGUUCAGGACCCCAGACCCUGCAUCUCCCACCCUUGGGGGGUGUUCAGGACCCCAGACCCUCCAUCUCCCACCCUUGGGGGGUGUUCAGGACCCCAGACCCUCCAUCUCCCACCCUUGGGGGGUGUUCAGGACCCCAGACCCUCCAUCUCCCACCCUUGGGGGGUGUUCAGGACCCCAGACCCUCCAUCUCCCACCCUUGGGGGGUGUUCAGGACCCCAGACCCUCCAUCUCCCACCCUUGGGGGGUGUUCAGGACCCCAGACCCUCCAUCUCCCACCCUUGGGGGGUGUUCAGGACCCCAGACCCUCCAUCUCCCACCC
rnacentral:lncRNA from 13 species